GACGUGGAUAAAUAUAAACACAAACACCGCCGCCAUCGCCACCUUACGUUCUUCAAUCACUACAAUGUCUCCCUUUAAUAACCGUCCAGUAUUUCCGGGAUGAUUUCCGGGGUGACAGGGACUAAUUAGGGUGCAAUUGGUCGCCCUCACCACUCAGGGAUCGCCGCGGUGUAAUCAGCAAUACCACUCGUGUUCAAUCGUGACUCAUUAGCGAGUGUCAUUGAUGCAAGUUCACCAUUGGAGGGAAACUCGCACAAAUAUUUAAUUAGCCGAGGGCCCCUACGUGUUACAGGUUGUGGUGAGGCGAGGCGACGCUGAUCCCAUAUAUAGGGUUUAACAUUGGGGCUGGAAGGGGACUCAGCACACAAUAAAUUAAUGUUUUCGUAUCUGUUGCUUAUCUUCGUUUUCUCGUGUCAAGUUGGGCUGAAAUUUACACUCUCCCCUCCCACAUCUUUUUUUUGUACCAUUUUUCAGUCACCCCAGCAGUGAUUAUGAAGCUACGUAUGUGAUCAAAUAGAAGUAAAAGGAAGCAAGAUAGGAUAGACUUGCAAAACCAUACAUUUCUCGUUUUCCUUUGUACUUAUGUAUGUAUGUAGGUGUGUGCUGUGGCAGUCCUGUGAUUUGCUGGGUGUGUUCACUGAGGCAGUUCUAACAGCAUUUUUUUUUUUUUCCGGUUAGUUGUUCCACUUGUUUACCGCCCUGGGGUGUGUUAAUGUUUCCUGUGCUGUUGUGUUUGUGAGCUCGAGCAAAUGUCACCAACUUGUCACCUUAGUACUUGUGAAACAGCUUCUCCAGGCAAUGUGUUCGUUUGUAUUUUCUCCUCUGCUAAAGGUGCUACAUACCCAUUUUAGUAAAUUAUCAUUAUUAUUCACAGUAUGGUUCAAACAUUUAAACACCAGUAACACGCUGAUCUGAAACAAGCCCUGACACUUUAGUCGCACGUAUUUAUCUCACCUGCUUAACUACAUACUCGUACCUAACUCAGUCAUUACCAUUACGAAGUCAGUGGUAAUUCUUGACAACAGUGCUGCAUUUAUCUCAUAAAUCUUAACAUGCAGUUAUCACUUGAUUAAUUUACCGAAUGUGGCUUUGUGUCCAUAGUGUGGCUGGGCGUGGCGUGGCGUGGCUGGGUGUGUGUGGUGUGGAGACAAAGAGCAACAGCAGCGGCAGAAUCGGCCAGCAUGAUCUCAAAGGUUCUCGGCCUGACCUCAAAUCAGUGCAGGCCAGCUUUGAGAUGUUAAGUGUGUUUAUGUAGACGUUCCCGUAAGAGGGCAGCCCUCGAUAGCAGGGUGCCUAUCGGUGCCAUGGAGUGCGUUGGUCAUUGCUGGUGUUCCCAGCAGUGCCGCUAGCAGCACCACCACCACCAGAGUUACAGACUACCUUGGGGACAUUGAGCACCCAGGGUUUCGGUCUGCCACCUAGCCCACUGUCAGAACUGGACAGCCUCGUGGUGGAUAUUCUGGGCACUAGUAACAUUGUCUUUGAAGGACACCACAACAGAGGUCUGAUUCUGCCAGUGGAAAGCAGGAUCCCUGUCACCAAUGGUAAUAAGGUGGAGGCUGCUGUCAUUCAUGAUGCUGGACUUUUCCCACCCUUGCCAUUGGAGGCCCUAGCAGAGGAGUCCUUAAUGGACCUCACUAACAGCACUCCCUGCUUUGUCAU